CUGACACUUUACUACUCCAACAUUUAUUUAUUAUUAUAACUUUUCGCUCAAACUUUAUAAAUUAUUAUUACAAUAAUUUUACAAUUUAAUUUAAUCGACUAAAUAUGUGACGUGCCACUGAUGUGGAAGUCACAUAGUAUUUUAAUUAUCAUUGCAUCGCAUCAUCACUUCUACAUUAGUAAUUGAUAGAUAUUUAAUCAAUUAAAUUAGAUUGUAAAAUUUAAUUAUAAUAAUUCAAAAUUUUUAAGAAAAAAUUUUAAAUACCAACCAUGUGGUUCCGCUUUUUUUAUUUUAAUAUCUUGCGGUUUAAAAUGUAUCAAUUUAGUACACUAUAAUUUUAUUUUUCUCUUUUUAUUAUCCCCCUACUAAUUUUUUUUCGUUAAAUUAAUAACAAAGUUAAAACGAAAAGAUACUAAAGUGAAUAUUCGAUAAAUCUAUGUGAGAUAUCUGAAGUAUUUUCUAUAUAAUUUAAUGAAAUGUUAACGAAGGAGCUGACGAAAAGAGAAAAAAUAAAAACAUAGUGUACUAAAUUGACACAUUUUAAACCACAUGGUACUAAAGUGAGAAAGUACGAAACUACGGGAAUGAUAUUUGAAGUUUAUCCAAAUUUUAAAAUAAAAGUUAUAAUAAAUUAAAAUAUUAGAAUCAAAGUGU
rnacentral:lncRNA from 1 species